CGGGAACCGCAAUGUCCUGAAAGCUCGCCUCCCAACUUCUCCUUUCACAGGGGAAGCAGCAGGGCAGAGGGCAUGAGGACCAGCCCCAAACCAGGAAGGAGCCACCCUGGCCAGCCUCGGAGGUGGGCAGUGCUAGGAGGGGACUGUCAGGGGACACAGGAGAUGAUGAACUUGAUCACCAUCUUACUGAGCACAUUGCCACUGCAGCCAGCAACUGAGAAGCCAGCGCACAAGGACUCUCUACAACCAAGGAACUCAUACAGAACCUUCAUCCCUGAAAGCACCAAGACCUGAAUUAAGCGCCAAUAAACUAUAAACAUUAAAA